GAUGAACGCUGGCGGCAGGCUUAACACAUGCAAGUCGAGCGGAGAUGAGGUGCUUGCACCUUAUCUUAGCGGCGGACGGGUGAGUAAUGCUUAGGAAUCUGCCUAUUAGUGGGGGACAACAUUCCGAAAGGAACGCUAAUACCGCAUACGUCCUACGGGAGAAAGCAGGGGAUCUUCGGACCUUGCGCUAAUAGAUGAGCCUAAGUCGGAUUAGCUAGUUGGUGGGGUAAAGGCCUACCAAGGCGACGAUCUGUAGCGGGUCUGAGAGGAUGAUCCGCCACACUGGGACUGAGACGCGGCCCAGACUCCUACGGUAGGCAGCAGUGGGGAAUAUUGGACAAUGGGGGGAACCCUGAUCCAGCCAUGCCGCGUGUGUGAAGAAGGCCUUAUGGUUGUAAAGCACUUUAAGCGAGGAGGAGGCUCUUUUGGUUAAUACCCAAGAUGAGUGGACGUUACUCGCAGAAUAAGCACCGGCUAACUCUGUGCCAGCAGCCGCAGUAA
rnacentral:rRNA from 1 species